AGGAUGAGACUAUAUAGUAUCAGCUAGUUGGUAAGGUAAUGGCUUACCAAGGCUAUGACGCUUAACUGGUCUGAGAGGAUGAUCAGUCACACUGGAACUGAGACACGGUCCAGACUCCUACGGGAGGCAGCAGUAGGGAAUAUUGCGCAAUGGGGGAAACCCUGACGCAGCAACGCCGCGUGGAGGAUGACACUUUUCGGAGCGUAAACUCCUUUUCUUAGGGAAGAAUUCUGACGGUACCUAAGGAAUAAGCACCGGCUAACUCCGUGCCAGCAGCCGCGGUAAUACGGAGGGUGCAAGCGUUACUCGGAAUCACUGGGCGUAAAGGGCGCGUAGGCGGAUUAUCAAGUCUCUUGUGAAAUCUAAUGGCUUAACCAUUAAACUGCUUGGGAAACUGAUAGUCUAGAGUGAGGGAGAGGCAGAUGGAAUUGGUGGUGUAGGGGUAAAAUCCGUAGAUAUCACCAAGAAUACCCAUUGCGAAGGCGAUCUGCUGGAACUCAACUGACGCUAAGGCGCGAAAGCGUGGGGAGCAAACAGGAUUAGAUACCCUGGUAGUCCACGCCCUAAACGAUGUACACUAGUUGUUGGGGUGCUAGUCAUCUCAGUAAUGCAGCUAACGCAUUAAGUGUACCGCCUGGGGAGUACGGUCGCAAGAUUAAAACUCAAAGGAAUAGACGGGGACCCGCACAAGCGGUGGAGCAUGUGGUUUAAUUCGAAGAUACGCGAAGAACCUUACCUGGGCUUGAUAUCCUAAGAACCUUUUAGAGAUAAGAGGGUGCUAGCUUGCUAGAACUUAGAGACAGGUGCUGCACGGCUGUCGUCAGCUCGUGUCGUGAGAUGUUGGGUUAAGUCCCGCAACGAGCGCAACCCACGUAUUUAGUUGCUAACGGUUCGGCCGAGCACUCUAAAUAGACUGCCUUCGUAAGGAGGAGGAAGGUGUGGACGACGUCAAGUCAUCAUGGCCCUUAUGCCCAGGGCGACACACGUGCUACAAUGGCAUAUACAAUGAGACGCAAUACCGCGAGGUGGAGCAAAUCUAUAAAAUAUGUCCCAGUUCGGAUUGUUCUCUGCAACUCGAGAGCAUGAAGCCGGAAUCGCUAGUAAUCGUAGAUCAGCCAUGCUACGGUGAAUACGUUCCCGGGUCUUGUACUCACCGCCCGUCACACCAUGGGAGUUGAUUUCACUCGAAGCCGGAAUACUAAACUAGUUACCGUCCACAGUGGAAUCAGCGACUGGGGUGAAGUCGUAACAAGGUAACCGUAGGAGAACCUGCGGUUGGAUCACCUCCUUUCUA
rnacentral:rRNA from 1 species